UUGUUUGUGAGAGAGAGCACAAGCAGGGUGAAGGGCAGAGGGAGAAGCAGGCUCUCUGCUGAGCAGGAGCCCAAUGCGAGACUCGAUCCUGGGACUCUGGGAUUAUGACCUGAGCUGAAGGCAGAUGCUUAACUGACUGAGCCAUCCAGAUUCCAUGCUGUACAGCAGUGGUUUUCAAACUUCUGGUCUCCGGACUUCUUUACGCUCCUACAAAUUAUUGAGGACUCCAAGGAUCUUUUGAUAUUCACCAUUUGUGAAGUAAAAACUAAGAAAGUUUGAAGGUAAAAAUGGUAUUUCCAUGAAGAAAGCCCACAACUCCAUCACAGAAGUUCCUUUCCUUGAGACAGCAUCUUACUUGAGUAUAUGGAAAAGUGCUUUAUGUAUACUUUGCGUUUUAUCACACAAUAUUUUUUAAAAGAUUUUAUUUAUUUAUUUGACAGAGAGAGAGCGAUCACAAGUAGGCAGAGAGGCAGGCAGAGGGAGAGGGAGAAGCAGGCUCCCCACCGAGCAAGGAGCCCGAUGCAGGACUCCAUCCCAGGACCCUGAGAUCAUGACCUGAGCCAAAGGCAGAUGCUUAACGACUGAGCCACCCAGGCACCCCUAUCACACAAUAUUUUGGAAGACCAGUGCUCCAGGGUCAAGAUUUUUAAAAAUUAGUAAUUUCUGCUGCUUAUCAAGGACUCCAUUACUGAAUGUGUACAGGUGAGAAUACAAUGACUACGGGUACAUUUUAGUGCCAUUGCCUUGAUUUAUGCGAAGGUUUCAGCAGUUUUAGCUAUCAUUGCUUUUGUACCAUCUGUACAAAUACCAACACAGUAGAAAAGGCAAAUCAUAUUUUGGUAUUAUUAGGAAAAUAGUUUUAGCCUUUGCAACUCCUGAAAGAGUCUUGGGGAUCCCAAAGAUCUGCAAAUCACACCUAAACAUAUAUAUGUAUAUAUUUAAUAUAUUUAACAAUUAUAUAUAUAUAUAAAUUAUAUAUAUAAACAUAUUUAAUAUGUUUAACUCAUAACUGAGUUAAAACCCAUAUCCUAGAAAGGCUAAUGCAUUAGCUAACAAUUCAGCAGGGGUUGGUUUACUUAAUUAACCCAACACUCUUGCCAACCAAGUUAAGGCUCUGAGGGAAUGGAGGAGGACAGUGCUUGAUGAAGGGACGGAAGUGGGGAAACCCAAGAGCGGUGAGGGGUCCAUUGGACAGCCAGAUCUCUGGGGAGGGGAGGAAUGAUACAACUUUUCCUCUCAUACAUUGGGAUUGAUCCUGGUCAUGUCUUUAUCCUUUGCAAAUUGCACACAUAGUUCAGGCAUAUGUAAUGUGAGUGCCCCUCCCUGCACAUUCUCCAGCUCCGAGGCACCGUCAUCUCUGGAGGGUACAAUAGACCUCAUUAGUUCAGACCUGACUAAUGUUGAACUUGUGACUAUUGGAAGUAGGCGGUGCAAUGCACAGAAAAGAAUAUGAGCUUUGCAAUGAGGCAUGUCAGGGCUCAAAUCCUGGCUCUGUCAUACACUAGCUGUAUGGCCUUGGGCAAGGGGUGAACCUUUCUAGGCGUUGGUUUCGUCUCUGUGAAAUGGGGCUGCCACUACCUCUGGAGGGGGUUGCAAAUGUUAAAUGAGAUAGCUGAUGGUAGGUACUCAGUAAAUGCCUGUGACCUUGCACAUGCCAGCUUCAUUUAUCUUAAACUCCAUCACUGGUCAUUUGUAAUAAAGCCCUGACUCCUGUUCAGUGUCAUCCUUGGCUUUUUUGCUUUUAUUAAGAAAGUGAGUUUUUGGAAAAAGUUAGAUGCAGUACUAGAAGGAUUGUUGGGAUGCUGCUUCUCCAGGAAUUUCAAUAAAUAUUUCACAAAAGCAUGACCCCUCUUCUUCCCUGUUCCUGGGGAUGCCGGAAGUGCUCUGAUCCAGAACCCUCUGCUCCAAAGGACUGCCCUUUUGUUCACCAGCUCAGCCUGGAAGUAGCCCAGUUACUGUUCAGUUCACCCCAGCCACUUUCAUGCCAUCUGCCCAAAGUGAAGAAGCAGAAGGAAGCCAUGUGUGGAACAGUGGGCACACAGCCACCUCUCCAAGGUCCGCCCAACGGCCUCUUCCCUCCUGGUUGCCACCCAGGCUGAUUCUUCCCCAGUGCUUUGUCUCUCUGGCUGUGCUUAGAAUCUUCACUGUUCCUGGAAUUUCUCUAAUUGUUUCUAGACUCUGGGUGGCUGCACCUUUUUUUUCCCAUAGCACCCUUGGUGAGUUUCAGAAAACCCUGUGGUCAUUAAUGAAUCUAUUUUCACAACCUCCCCAGAAACAAGUCUCUUCCGUGUUCUGGAUCAAAGAACCUAUUACUGACACAAAAGGAACCCAGCCAACUGGCCUUCCCCCCACGGGAGGCAGGCCCCACUCUAAUCUUGCCUUGGCUUUUGACUUGCUGUGUGGCCUUUGUUUCCUCAUCCAAUGAUAAUAUCUACCUCACAGGAAUAUUGUGGAGCUCAAUAGAUGCUAAGAACUGUUCCUCUUCGAGGCUGAAAGAUCGGUAUCACAUCUACUACAGUGCCAGAGGACUCAAAGCACCUUAUAGGAGUCUAAUUUUUCCCUUAUUUGGUUGAGGUAGAUUAGUGGCAGGUGUUCCCGUGCCCACAUUGUACCCUUGCAAAUGUGCCUUUCACCAUCUCAUUUCAACACUUCCUAUUCACUUCCUCUUUGCAGGCUCACAGGAAAUUGUCUAUCUGAAUGGAGACUAAAGACUGAUGGGCUAAGUAGGCUUUGUGUCAUUUCACUCUUCAGUUUGUGUGUUUGAUUCCACUUGUGGUCGGGGAUGGAAAUGUUCUCCUCUGAUCCUGCGUCCUUUCCCAGUCUCCUUUUUGGUUUCAGUCCCUUUUCUCAGUACUUUAUCCUUUGACCUCUUGGCAGCAUUUGGCACGAAUAAUGAUCACUUUUUCCAGAACUUGUUGGUGAUAUUAUACCCCCAGAAUUCUGCCUCUGUGACUUACCAAACCUGGUCCCUCUCAUCUAUUGUUCCUCUAAUAAAGGCUGAGGUUAAAACCUUUUCUCAGCACGAUCUCAGAGGUAAUCUCAUCCAUUUUCAAGGUUUUAACCAAAACCAGUGUUCCGCUUCUGGUCCUGAAUUUCUUCUUGUUUGACGUUUCUUAGAUCCUCCUAACAUCAUGCAGAUUCAGUAUGUUCAGUAUAUUUAGAAUGGAAUUGACUUUCUCUUCUCUACACACCAGAAAUCGGUCCCUCUUCUGGAUGAACUUAAUUCUGUCAGGGCUUCCACCAUCAAUUCAAAUGUUGGAGUCAUCUGAACUCUCUUUUUCUCAACCCCUACAUUUAAUCUGUCCCCUGUAAAGACUCUCUCUGCCCCAGUUUUUAGGUUUGAGUCCUACAAAACCUGCCAUAUUGUCUCGGUGGUUCCCUGCGGGUCUCUCUGCCACCAGUGUCAACCCACUGCAGUCAGGUUAGCCUUCUGGCGAAGAGCACGUUCAAGCCUUUCCAGUCCCUCUGCUGACUUAAAGCAAUUGUAAUGAUUAACUGUUGCAGUGUAACAAAUCCAAACGGAGUGGCAUAAACUAGCCGCCAUUUUUUUUAGACUCACAGAUUGUCUGGAUUAGGAAUUUGGAAAGGGCACAGUGGGUCGGCUUGUCUCUGCUCUGGGAUGUCUGGGCCCUCUGCUGGAAAGAUUCAGAGCUGGGGUGUGACUUGACAUCUGUCACAUCUUUGGCAAUCUGAUGCUGGCUGUUGGCUGGGCCCUCAGCUGGAGCUGUCAACUGGAACAGUGGUCUCUCCAUGUGGUUGCUUGUGCUUCCUCACAGCAUGGUGACUGGGUUCCAAGAGCAAGCAUUCAUAAAAGAGGCAGGGUAUGAUCUAGCUUCAGAAGCCCUACACUGUCACUUUUGCCAUGGUCACAAGCCUGACCAGAUUCAAGGGAGGGAGCAGAGAAUACCAUCUUUCAGUGGGAGAAGUGUCAAAGUCACAUCACAAGAGCAUGUGGAUAAUUUUGUUGCUAUCAUCUUUGGAAAAUACAGGUUAAAGAAGCUUGUCAAGGGUCUUCCAAUUAGUAAACAGUUGGGUGGGGUUUGAACAUAGAACCUUUGACUGCAAUCUUAACCUCCAUAGUGUCUCCACUUAAUCAGGGCAAAAGCCCAGGUACAGAAAGAGAUGGGGAAAAAAAAAUGAUAGCAGUUAUAAAAACUUACUAGGAAUUAUUUUUAAAUUCUGAUCUCCCCUUGUCCAGUUGCAGUCCUGCAAGGUUCACAACUCAAGGGAAGGAAGACUUGUUGGCGGAUAGCUCGAGCCAGCUUAGUCCUUGGACCACACUGGCCCCUGUGGACAAGAGCCCAGGGAAUGAUCUCAGUGACUGUCUCUGUGUCUGCCUCUUCGGGCCUCUGCUGGGCUGUUUUGCUCAUGUGCUUUCCAGGAAGCUUGCUUUCUCUUCUCUUCUCUCCAUCUGUUCAUUCCUUCCUGGUUCUGGUACCCACUUAGACCUCCCUGCCUCUUCCAUGUUUGCUUUGACCUCACCCUCAUUGCAGCCCCACUGAGAGUUAGAGAUUUGUCUCAGCAUGGUUUGGCUUUUCACUGGAGUUGGCUCCUCUGGCUUCUCUGGGGUUACUCAGGCUGAACCUGCUUUCCUGGGGUUUCCUUCCAACCUUGUUCAUGCUGUUUUAUCUGCAAGAUGAAUGUCCUUUCCUCCCCUUCUUUACGUGAAUAAUGCCUAUGCUUUCUCUAAGGUUCAAGUCAGGUUCCGACACCCCUCUCCCUUAUGGCUGGUUGUGGCCUCUCCUCAGAGCUCCCAGAGUUUCUUGUACAUUCUUCUGGAAUGGUUUUUACACCAUUCUGUACUUACCUGUUGUUUCGUUCCAUGUGACCCUUAUUACUUCCAGCAGGGAAGAAACUGGAGCCCUCCAGUUCAUUGUUCAUCGUGGAGCCCUCCAUGCCUGUUCAGGGCUGGGCAUAUCAAAGACACUCAGAUCCUCCUGUGGUGGUUGAUGUGUGCCUGGAA